ACUGCGAAUGGCUCAUUAAAUCAGUUAUAGUUUAUUUGAUAGUACCUUACUACAUGGAUACCUGUGGUAAUUCUAGAGCUAAUACAUGCUAAAAACCCCGACUUCGGAAGGGGUGUAUUUAUUAGAUAAAAAACCAACGCCCUUCGGGGCUCCUUGGUGAAUCAUGAUAACUUAACGAAUCGCAUGGCCUUGCGCCGGCGAUGGUUCAUUCAAAUUUCUGCCCUAUCAACUUUCGAUGGUAGGAUAGUGGCCUACCAUGGUGGUAACGGGUAACGGGGAAUUAGGGUUCGAUUCCGGAGAGGGAGCCUGAGAAACGGCUACCACAUCCAAGGAAGGCAGCAGGCGCGCAAAUUACCCAAUCCCGAUACGGGGAGGUAGUGACAAUAAAUACUGAUACAGGGCUCUUUUGGGUCGUGUAAUUGGAAUGAGUACAAUCUAAACCCCUUAACGAGGAACAAUUGGAGGGCAAGUCUGGUGCCAGCAGCCGCGGUAAUUCCAGCUCCAAUAGCGUAUAUUAAAGUUGUUGCAGUUAAAAAGCUCGUAGUUGAACCUCGGGCCUAGCUGGCCGGUCCGCCUCACCGCGAGUACUGGACUGGCUGGGCCUUCCCUCCUGGGGAACCCCAUGGCCUUCACUGGCUGUGGCGGGGAACCAGGACUUUUACUGUGAAAAAAUUAGAGUGUUCAAAGCAGGCCUUUGCUCGAAUACAUUAGCAUGGAAUAAUAGAAUAGGACGUGCGGUCCUAUUUUGUUGGUUUUCAGACCGCCGUAAUGAUUAAUAGGGAUAGUCGGGGGCGUCAGUAUUCAGCUGUCAGAGGUGAAAUUCUUGGAUUUGCUGAAGACUAACUACUGCGAAAGCAUUCGCCAAGGAUGUUUUCAUUAAUCAGGAACGAAAGUUAGGGGAUCGAAGACGAUCAGAUACCGUCGUAGUCUUAACCAUAAACUAUGCCGACUAGGGAUCGGGCGGUGUUUCUAUGAUGACCCGCUCGGC
rnacentral:rRNA from 1 species